GGUGUUGGCACACAAAACUCACUGAAGUAUUGUUUUCUCUAGGUUUUCAGCAAGGGAAAGCUGAUCCAUGUGUAUUUGUCAAAGAGGAGGGGCAAAAGAAACUGUACUGUUUGUUUUAUGUUGAUGAUUUAUUAUUCUUUUGGAAAGAUGUUGCAAUGUACAAUAGCGCCCUAGCUCAACUGAAAGAGCACUUUGACAUGAAAGAUCUUGGUGAGGUAAACAACUACCUAUCUCUGGAAAUAGAGAGAGAUCAAGAUGGUAACAUUCUAGUACACCAGUCACGGAAAAUUGCUGAUGUGUUAAGCAAACUAAAUCUGAUGGAUGCUAACCCUGUAGACACACCGAUGACAACAGGUUAUCAGGUAGAUGACACUGAAGAAGCAUUUUCUGACACUACACUGUACAGGAGUGUGCUAGGCAAGCUAAACUUCAUUGCCAGAUGUUCAAGACCAGACAUUGCUGUUAGCUGUAAUUUGCUAAGCAGACAAGUCAACAAUCCUAGUGUCAAGGAUUGAAAGCUCUGAAACGCAUAGCGCGGUAUUUGAAAGGCACUAUGCAUUACAGACUGAGAUUUAACAAUCAGAAGUCUGGUGGUCUUGAGAUAUUUGCAGAUGCAAGUUUUGGAAGUGACGCUACAGACAGGAAAAGUACGUCUGGAGUUUGCUACAUGUACAAUCAGAGUCUGUUUGAUUGGUCAUGCAGAAGCAAACAACAGUUAGCUUAAGUACUUGUGAAGCCGAACUGAAUGCACUGUCUUAUUCACUUAAGGAUUGUGAAUGGUUAGUACAAUUGUGCAAAGAUAUGAAAAUUCCUGUCAAAUGUCCAAUCCAGGUUUACCAGGACAACAAAGCAUGUUUGGCUUUGCUGAAGUCUGAAGGUUGUAAGCAAAGCACAAAGCACUUGCAAUUAAAGUUGCAGCAUGCUAGGGAAUGUAUUCAGAAGGGACUCGUAACGGUGUCCUAUAUGCCAGGUAAUGAAAUUCCUGCUGAUGUAUUGUCCAAGAUUGUAUCAAGGGAUCAACACUGUACCUAUGUGCAGAAGUUGGGUUUGUACUGAUACUGUACGAACACGCUGCCCAGUGAUGUUCACAGAAAGGGGGAGGAUGUUGGUUUCUAUUUCCUUCACUGUGCAGCAACUGCAGUCACAAGACAUUGUUUUACAUUCCACAGUCUGUACUGUUGGAGUUUCUCACGGGAAAGGGAGACUGGAUGUGACGUACACUGGUUUCCUGUUUUUCACUGUGAUUCUCUCCAAGCUGUCGAGGAGAGAGGAUGCAUUUCUCUGCUCCUGCAGAGGCAAGAUGUCUUUCUGUAAUAUACCAGCUUUGAACUGUAAAUAAAGCUAUAUGGAGUAUG